GGGAAUUUUUAGCUUGGAAAGAGACAACUAAUGGGAGAUAUGAUAGAGGUCUAUACAAUCAUGAAUGGUGUGGAGAAAGUGAAUAAGGAAGUGUUAAUUACCCUUUCACAUAACACAAGAACCAGGGAUCACCUAAUGAAAUUAAUAGGUAGGAAGAUUAAAACUAACAUAAGGAAGUACUUUUUCACACACUGCAGAGUCAACCUAUGGAACGCAUUGCCAGUGGAUGCUGUGAAGGACAAAAGUAUAACUGGGUUC